rnacentral:tRNA from 1 species
GGCGGCGUAGCCAAGUGGUAAGGCAGAGGUCUGCAAAACCUCCAUCAUCGGUUCAAUUCCGAUCGCCGCCUCCA